UUUCCGUAUGUGAACCUGCGGAAGGAUCAUUAACACGUUCCAAAAAAACCUAAUCAACCAACCUGUGAACAUGUAUUCUGGCUGAAUAGAUAUCUAUAUAGUAAAUAUAUAGAUAUACUUUCAUGCCCCUCCCAUAUAUAUAUAUAAUAAAUGAUAUGGAGCUUAUUUUGCUUAAGAGUUUUUUUGUCUCAGGCUUAAUAAAGUUCCUCCAUAUCAUUUUAUAUAUGUAUAUUUUUUAUUCACGCCCUAGUAAAUCAUUCUCCCUCCUUUCUGAGAGAGUGACGAAAUGUUUAUGUAUCAAUAUCUUUUUUUAUCCUUUUUUGUGCUUUAUCAUUGGAUUUCAAGUGCCGAUUCGCUUUUUUGUUUUGGUUACUUCGGUAAUUGAAAGAGAGAGAGAGCCCGACUGCCUAUGAAAAUGUAGCCAAAAAAAUGAUAUCUAAUUAAAAAUAAAUAAGAGAACAACUCUUAGCAAUGGAUAUCUUGGUUCUC
rnacentral:misc_RNA from 1 species